rnacentral:rRNA from 1 species
AGGCAGCAGUUGGGAAUAUUGCACAAUGGGGGAAACCCUGAUGCAGCGACGCCGCGUGAACGAAGAAGGUAUUCGUAUCGUAAAGUUCUGUCCUAUGGGAAGAUAAUGACAGUACCAUAGAAGAAAGCUCCGGCUAAAUACGUGCCAGCAGCCGCGGUAAUACGUAUGGAGCGAGCGUUGUCCGGAAUUAUUGGGCGUAAGGGGUACGCAGGCGGUUUAAUAAGUCGAAUGUUAAAGAUCGGGGCUCAACCCCGUAAAGCAUUGGAAACUGAUAAACUUGAGUAGUGGAGAGGAAAGUGGAAUUCCUAGUGUAGUGGUGAAAUACGUAGAUAUUAGGAGGAAUACCAGUAGCGAAGGCGACUUUCUGGACACAAACUGACGCUGAGGUACGAAAGCGUGGGGAGCAAACAGGAUUAGAUACCCUAGUAGUCC